GAGAGACCCACACCAUGUCUGUCUCAGCAGAGCUCACUGGUGUCUGCACCAUGGCCUGGAUUCCUCUCCUCUUCUUCCUCCUUCGUUGUACAGGGUCAUUCGCCCAACCUGUGCUGACUCAGUCGCCCACAACCUCGGCCUCCCUAGGAAACUCAGUUAAACUCACCUGCACCUUGAGUAGUGAGUACAGCACCUUCCCCAUCAGUUGGUACCAGCAACAACCAGAGAACGCUCCUAAGUUUGUGAUGUUGCUUGCAAAUAGUGGAGACCCUGACAUGGGGAAUGGGAUACCUAGUCGCUUCUCUGGCUUCAGCUCUGGGCCUCAUCGCUACUUAAGCAUCUCCAACAUUCAGCCUGAAGAUGAAGCUGACUAUUUCUGUGAUGUACAUUAUAGCAUUAGUGGAGAUUAUGGGUGAACACAGUGAGCUAGGUAA